rnacentral:rRNA from 1 species
AUUGAACGCUGGCGGCAUGCCUAACACAUGCAAGUCGAGCGGAGCGGCGGACGGGUGAGUAAUGCCUAGGAAUCUGCCUGGUAGUGGGGGAUAGCGUCCGGAAACGGGCGCUAAUACCGCAUACUAUCAGAUGAGCCUAGGUCGGAUUAGCUAGUUGGUUGGGUAAAGGCCUACCAAGGCGACGAACCGUCACUGGUCUGAGAGGAUGAUCAGUCACACUGGAACUGAGACACUGUCCAGACUCCUACGGGAGGCAGCAGAGGGGAAUAUUGGACAAUGGGCGAAAGCCUGAUCCAGCCAUGCCGCGUGCGUGAAGAAGGUCUUCGGAUUGUAAAGCAAUUCCAGUUGGGAGGCGUUACCAACAGAAUAAGCACCGGCUAACUUCGUGCCAGCAGCCGCGGUAAUUC